GUGGGGAAUAUUGGACAAUGGGGGGAACCCUGAUCCAGCCAUGCCGCGUGUGUGAAGAAGGCCUUUUGGUUGUAAAGCACUUUAAGCGAGGAGGAGGCUACUGAGAUUAAUACUCUUGGAUAGUGGACGUUACUCGCAGAAUAAGCACCGGCUAACUCUGUGCCAGCAGCCGCGGUAAUACAGAGGGUGCAAGCGUUAAUCGGAUUUACUGGGCGUAAAGCGCGCGUAGGUGGCCAAUUAAGUCAAAUGUGAAAUCCCCGAGCUUAACUUGGGAAUUGCAUUCGAUACUGGUUGGCUAGAGUAUGGGAGAGGAUGGUAGAAUUCCAGGUGUAGCGGUGAAAUGCGUAGAGAUCUGGAGGAAUACCGAUGGCGAAGGCAGCCAUCUGGCCUAAUACUGACACUGAGGUGCGAAAGCAUGGGGAGCAAACAGGAUUAGAUACCCUUGUAGUCC
rnacentral:rRNA from 1 species